CCCUUAGAUGUCCUGGGCCGCACGCGCGCUACACUGAGUGUCUGAGAUACGAGUCUGCCUGGUCCGGCAAGGUCUAGGUAAUCGCUAAAAGACACAUCAUGCUUGGGAUAGAUUAUUGCAAAUAUUAAUCUUGAACGAGGAAUUCCUAGUAAGCGCAAGUCAACAGCUUGCGUUGAUUACGUCCCUGCCCUUUGUACACACCGCCCGUCGCUCCUACCGAUUGAGUGGUCCGGUGAGGCUUUGGGAUCUGAGCGGAAAGAGCGUUUCGCUGUUUCUGCUCGGAAAACUCAGUCGAACCUUAUCAUUUAGAGGAAGGAGAAGUCGUAACA
rnacentral:rRNA from 1 species